CAGUAGCCGCGGGAAAACGGAGGGAGCUAGCGUUGUUCGGAAUUACUGGGCGUAAAGCGCGCGUAGGCGGUUACUCAAGUCAGAGGUGAAAGCCCGGGGCUCAACCCCGGAACUGCCUUUGAAACUAGGUGACUAGAAUCUUGGAGAGGUCAGUGGAAUUCCGAGUGUAGAGGUGAAAUUCGUAGAUAUUCGGAAGAACACCAGUGGCGAAGGCGACUGACUGGACAAGUAUUGACGCUGAGGUGCGAAAGCGUGGGGAGCAAACAGGAUUAGAUACCCCCGUAGUCCCUGUCUCUUAUAA
rnacentral:rRNA from 1 species